rnacentral:rRNA from 1 species
UACGAAGGGGACUAGCGUUGUUCGGAUUUACUGGGCGUAAAGCGCGCGUAGGCGGAUCGCUAAGUCAGGGGUGAAAUCCCAGGGCUCAACCCUGGAACUGCCUUUGAUACUGACGAUCUGGAGAUCGGGAGAGGUUGGUGGAAUUCCGAGUGUAGAGGUGAAAUUCGUAGAUAUUCGGAGGAACACCAGAAGCGAAGGCGGCCAACUGGCACGAUACUGACGCUGAGGCGCGAAAGCGUGGGGAGCAAACAGG